rnacentral:tRNA from 2 species
UGCCCCUUAGCUCAAUUGGCAGAGCGUCUGACUCUGACUCAGAAGGUUCUAGGUUCGAUUCCUAGAGGGGCAA